GUCGGCUACGGCGACAUGGCCCCCAAAACCUACAUCGGCAUGUUCGUGGGCGCCCUCUGCGCCCUGGCCGGCGUACUAACCAUCGCACUGCCAGUGCCCGUCAUCGUCAGCAAC
rfam:Drosophila melanogaster chromosome 2L.